rnacentral:rRNA from 1 species
CCCUUAGAUGUUCUGGGCUGCACGCGCGCUACACUGAUGCGUUCAACGAGUUUAUGACCUUGCCCGAUAGGGUUGGGUAAUCUUUUUAAAUCGCAUCGUGAUGGGGAUAGAUUAUUGCAAUUAUUAAUCUUCAACGAGGAAUGCCUAGUAAGCGCAAGUCAUCAGCUUGCGUUGAUUACGUCCCUGCCCUUUGUACACACCGCCCGUCGCUCCUACCGAUUGAAUGGUCCGGUGAAGCGUUCGGACCGUGGCCUUUGGACGGUUCGCCGUCUGUUGGCUGCGGGAAGUUCGUUAAACCUUAUCAUUUAGAGGAAGGAGAANUCGUAACA